rnacentral:lncRNA from 13 species
UCUCAGGAUGUUUCUGGAAAGACUGGCAUUUGCAUCAAUGGAUUGAAUAAGGAAGAGCUGUCCUCACCUAAUGUGGAGGCACCAUUCAGUCCACUGAGGGCUCCAAUAGAAAAUAAGGCAAAGUAAUGGUGAGUUUCUCUCUCUCUUUUCCAUAGCUUGGGUGCCCUUCUCCUUCCGCUCUUAGAUGUCAGAACUCCUGAUUCUCUGGCUUUUGGACUGUGGGACUCACACCAGCAUUCCCUGCUCCUACUAUCUCCACUACCCACCGGCUCUCAGGCCUUUGGCCUCACACUGAGAGUUACACCAUCGGCCUCCUUGGUUCUGAGGCCUUCAGACCUGGACUGAGCUGUGCAACUGCCUUUUCUGGUUCUCCAGCUUGUAGACGGCCUGUUGUGACACCUCUCAGCCUCCAUUACGAAGAGGCUAGAAAUCAAAAUUUGGCUCUACAGGCCCAUGAUAUUCCCUGCCUGAUCUACUUCUCUGGACAUCUGGGUUUCCUGUGGAUUGUGUUCAAUCAGCAAUGUUGAGAACAUUCUGGAUGAAUGUUAUGGAAGAGUAUGUGACCCAGUGUACUUCCAAUGAAGUGGAGAAGUACAAGCAAUGAGAUGGGCCACCAGCAGCUCCCUGGACUCCUUCUCCCCAAGGGGAAAAGCUUUACAGAGGAGAAAUUCAUCCCCCAAGAGAAUAGUGACUUUAACAUUAAACCAGUCUUUGGUGGUGCUGGAUUUGGACCUUGUUGUGUUCUUUGAAGCUUCUCCUUCCACACAACACUAACCUCAUUUCUGUAAUCUGAGAACAAGAACACAAACCCAC